CGUGUUCUUGUUUCUGAGAUAUACUCAAGUGAGAAUAUUGCGGGAAAUUCUUCUCUCUAAUUACAUAGAUAUUUGUUAUGUUUAGAAUUGGCACUUUUUUCUUUUAAAUUUUAUGAAAAAUUGGUGAGGAUUUCAUAUGAUUUUCAUAAAUGGCUUUUAAACUAUUAGUAUAUAAAUAUUAUAAAAAGGGUAACUAGGAAAUAUUUUUAUUGGCAUUGCAUGGAUAGAAUCAGAGGAUUCAGAACAGACUAUCUGCAAAAAGGUCAAAAGCAAGAGUAGCGAACAUCUUUUAACUCAAAUAUGACUUACAGAGUUGUUCUUACAAUGUUUGAAACUGAGGCGGAAGAUAGCACAGUGUCAAUCAAAAUUUGACUUGCGUCUCGAUCUGAUAUUGAAGUCUCUAGGUGAUACCCGGGAAUUUAUGGGAAAAAAACAUGUAUUAAUCUGUUUAUAGCAGUUUUCUUAACGAAAUGAAAGCUAGGAAACUUACAAAGGUUGAGUUCAAUAUCGUAGCGGCUACGUAGAUUUUUUUCUACUGAACGAUAGAAUUGAGAAUGGAAAGGGGGAAUGUGUCAA
rnacentral:lncRNA from 1 species